UUUUUAACAAUACAAGAAUUAUAAAAAAAAAAAACAAUUAAAUUUUGAGGUUAUGAAACUGUUAUUUCACAAUAAUUCAUUCCUUACGUUAUUGUAUUAAAUUCCGGUUAAAUGGCGGAAGAUUAAAAGACAAAGGACUUAUGUGAGUAAAAAAUAAGAACGGGUGCAGCUGAUGGGAAGAAAAAUAAUUCCCACAAGAUCGUUUGGUCUUCCGUGCAGUAGCAAUACUCGCAUAUAUGUUAAAUAAAAUAAAAUUCGUGUAGAGUCGUGAUCUUAUUCGACGGAACAUAUGUGUAACACAAGGGGCGUAUCAUCCGGUGGUCUUUGCGGUCCGUCUACCAUAAAUGUUCGACAGUUUGCAGCCGCAAGACUCCAAAACACAUCCCGUGAAAUUCAAGUGUAUUGCCAGAGCACUUGAUCGCGUUUGUUCAAGUCUACAUUCUACACUCUGGAUCGCUUAUUUUAUUUUUUUCCUUACCUCUAUACUUUUACCCAGACUUGUUUUUCGUCAACGUCAACGUCGCCAAAAUAUGUGUACGCACAUCAGUCAGAGCUGGCCAGAGCAUCCUCUAAUGCUUAGCAAACGAAACUAAAAAAUAAAUAAUCAGCCAGCUUACGGAAAAUUAUGGCAGGAUAAUGGCCGAGCCAGAAGAAGAGUAGCAGACAAAUUGUUUCGGGCAUGCUAUUCCAAUGGACAAAAUUACUCGUCGGAAAUUCAUCAUGAAGCCCCAACUAACUCGAGUAGCCAAAGGCUUCUCGUCCACAGCCUCGGGAUUUUUAGAUUAGAGAUUCCAUUAGGAAGACUAGGCUGGCCAACAAUGCGGAAUUUUGUCAAAAAUUAUGGAGGUAUUACUUACUUCUAUUAAUAAUUAAAGUCAAUUGUCAAUAUGGCUUCUC